GACGAACGCUGGCGGCGUGCUUAACACAUGCAAGUCGAACGGAAAGGCCCUGCUUGCAGGGUACUCGAGUGGCGAACGGGUGAGUAACACGUGGGUGAUCUGCCCUGCACUUCGGGAUAAGCCUGGGAAACUGGGUCUAAUACCGGAUAGGACCCUCCUUUAGUGUGGGGGGUGGAAAGAUUUAUCGGUGUGGGAUGAGCCCGCGGCCUAUCAGCUUGUUGGUGGGGUAAUGGCCUACCAAGGCGUCGACGGGUAGCCGGCCUGAGAGGGUGGACGGCCACAUUGGGACUGAGAUACGGCCCAGACUCCUACGGGAGGCAGCAGUGGGGAAUAUUGCACAAUGGGCGGAAGCCUGAUGCAGCGACGCCGCGUGGGGGAUGACGGCCUUCGGGUUGUAAAGCCCUUUCGGUAGGGAAGAAAUCUCUUGUCUUAACACGGCAAGGGUUUGACUUAACCUACAUAAGAAGCACCGGCUAACUCUGUGCCAGCAGCCGCAGUAAGAC
rnacentral:rRNA from 1 species